ensembl:snoRNA small nucleolar RNA SNORA1
AGCCUCAUUCUAGAUUAGAAUGGGCUCUGUUGAUUGGUGUCCAAAAUUAAUCAAUGUGGCUGAAAUUGUCACAAGUCAUGCUUCUAUCAUAGUAAAUGUUUACAGUGGUAACAAUGAAACUUGUAACAUUU